AUGUUCACGUUGGAAGCAUAUAUGCUAACAUCGGAGUGAUACAGAGAUUAGCAUGGCCCUGUUCAAGGAUGACAUGCAAAUCUGUGAAGCAUUCCAUUAAAAA